UUGUGGAGAAGGACGCCGAAGGUGGGGCUGAUGACUGGGGUGAAGUCGUAACAAGGUAGCCGUACCGGAAGGUGCGGCUGGAUCACCUCCUAACAGGGAGACAAUAAAUUGAUUGUGAUGUCUAAGUUAUUUAUUCUUAGGCCGCAAUCCUGUCACCUUAAGGUCGAUCGGUACCUCAGAUUUUUGAAUUAGUUUUACAAUUGAUUCUUUGAUUUCAGUUCCUAAACUUGUCUAGGUCACACCCAACAAAGGUUUCUCCUGGGCCAUUAGCUCAGGUGGUUAGAGCGCACCCCUGAUAAGGGUGAGGUCCCUGGUUCAAGUCCAGGAUGGCCCAUUCGUUGUUGGGGGUAUAGCUCAGUUGGUAGAGCGCCUGCUUUGCAAGCAGGAUGUCAGCGGUUCGAGUCCGCUUACCUCCACUGAAAACUAUCCUGAUAACUAAAUUUCUGGAGAAAAAAAUUGUAGAUGUGGCUUAGAUAUUGUCUAUUUGAAAAGAACCUAGCUUCUUAUCAUCUUUUUAUAGUUGAUAAAAUGCUGGGCUCGCAUGGAUUAUUUCCAUGAGAAUUCAGUAGAACCUUGAAAACUGCAUAGAUUAGAAAGAAUAAAGCAUCUCAUGGAUGCAUAAGUUCUGUUUUUAUAAUUUAGCCUUAAAACUAAAUUAUUGAAUUCUAGAAUUCAUGUUUAAUUCUUGAGUAAUAGCCGAGCACAAUUGAUUUUGUGAUUGUAUUAAAGGUCAAGCUACAA
rnacentral:misc_RNA from 1 species